ACAAACGCUGGCGGCAUGCCUAACCCAUGCAAGUCGCACGGACAGAACAGGGACGCUUUUCGGAGUGGAACUGGAAAGUUCGUGGCGGAUGGGUGAGUAACGCGUGGACAACCUACCUUGUAAAGGGGAAUAACCUCGAGAAAUCGAAGCUAAUACCCCAUAAUAACCUUGCUUCGCAUGAAGUAAGGAGGAAAGGCGGCCUUAGCGCUGUCGAUACAAGAUGGGUCCGCGUCUGAUUAGCUAGUUGGUGAGGUAAAGGCUCACCAAGGCGACGAUCAGUAGCCGGCCUGAGAGGGUGAACGGCCACAUUGGGACUGAGACACGGCCCAAACUCCUACGGGAGGCAGCAGUGGGGAAUCUUCCGCAAUGGGCGAAAGCCUGACGGAGCAAUGCCGCGUGAGUGAAGAAGGCCUUCGGGUUGUAAAACUCUGUCCUUAUCGAAGAGAGAGUGUUGUAGUAACUGACAAUACUAGGACGGUAGAUGAGGAGGAAGCCCCGGCUAACUAUGUG
rnacentral:rRNA from 1 species